UAAAAGAAUCCAUAAGAAGUCUUAAAAUAUAUUAAAAUAAUUAAAAAUUUAUCUUCAAUAAAUCUCAAUUAAGUUCUAAUUUAAUACUGUUUGAAAUCUUAAUGGACUUCAAUCAAAUUUUAGCCAAAUUCUAAUCAUAAACCAUAUCUUAAAUCAAAUCCUAGACAAAUCCUAAAUCCUAAAUCAAAUCCUAAAUCAAAUCUUAAAUAAACCCUAAAUCCUAAAUCCUAAACAAAAUCCUAGAUAAAUCCUAAACAAAUCUUAAAUCUUAAACCAAAUCCUAAACAAAUCCUAAAUCCUAAACCAAAUCCUAACCAACUCAAUUUAAUCCUAAUAUUAUUUAGAACCUUCAUAUCUAUUAAUUAAACUAUUGAUUUUGCAUAUUUUUU
rnacentral:lncRNA from 1 species